GGGAAAUUGGAGGACCACAGCCUGCCGGUGCCGAAAGCGAUCAUGGGAAGGUCGAGGAUUACAGACCGCCAGCCAGGAACGACGGGAACUUGAAGGACUACGGUUACCGCCUACACAAAGCCGCCUAUGAGUCAUCAUAGUCAUAAUUACACCGCAGCAAAUGAAGGAAAAUGUCCCAAGUUCUCUGCUAUAACUGAUAGCACAUUCCAAACAUGUGACCUCUAUCAAAUAGAAGGACCGUGAAUGAAUGGGAACCCCAUCACCUACAAGUUCAAGUGCAAGCCACGCACAGGCCUAACGAACUAUAUUGCCAUUUUUUUGAUGUUGUGCCUGACUCGGAACAAGCGGGUGGAUUAAAGCGCAUUAAUCAUUACGAUAUUUCCAUUUGUUUCUGUUGCAACACCACAGCAAGCUAGGCUCGUUGGCGUUUCGUGCGUGUGCGCGCCAGAAUUCCUGCUUGCUAACCUUUGCUGGGCAUUAGAUGCAACGCGUGCACCCCGGGAUGCGCAAGACGCUCCUCGCGGGAUGUGUGCGGACCGCGUCGUCAGAUUCGAACCGCCGACGGUUACGGGAGUUCGGGGCCGCGGACCAGGCGCCCUUGGCGUCGUCUUUGCGAAAAUAGAGCAACUGUCUGCCGCUUGACUACAACUGGCUCCUCCGCCUGGCCGGAGUAAGACAAGAGUUACCACCAUAUUUAAUUGGAUCCCCAACCUCAACUCCACAAUCACGACCACCCCCCCCCCCCCGAACUCCCGCGGGAAGAAAAACUCAAUAGAGAGCAUCAGCGUGCGAGACGAGCUCUUCUUGGACGGAGACUUUGCAUCGUUCUUUGGGGUUCCCCAGAAAGAAAAAGACGAGCGUUCAUGUAGUGCUUUUCACCAUCAGGAUUUCACAAAAGGCUGUACAGUCAAGAGAAUUUUAGAUUUUUUCUGGAUUUAAAGGAACAAAGAGUAAAAUGCAGUCAAAAUCUAAACCAAAGCAAUAUGAGAACAUUCAAAGAAACGAAAGUACCACUGCACCAACUUCUGGAGUUCCUCCUAGAACCUUUUCAGGUUUAGAAUGGAUAAACCUCACUGCUCUGAAAUUCGAUCAUGACUUUGAAAGGAUUCCUGAAGCAGAAAAUACAAUACAAUUACUAAGCGAAACCUUGAUCUACCACUUUAUUUCCGCUGCAAAAUCAAAUCAACCAAAUUCCAUGGUACUAUAAAACUCUGCAUUUGUUGUGGAUGGUUGUCGUUGGCAAAAGGUGUUGAAAAGGCAUAUUUAGCACUGAAUAUAUCAUCAGAAAGAAUUGGUAUUUUCCAGAAUUUUUAGAAUGUUCGAAGUGCUAUAAAGACAGAUAUUUGUACACUUUCUGGUGCAUCCUAAC